CAGCAGCCGCGGUAAUACGUAGGGUGCAAGCGUUAAUCGGAAUUACUGGGCGUAAAGCGUGCGCAGGCGGUUAUGUAAGACAGAGGUGAAAUCCCCGGGCUCAACCUGGGAACUGCCUUUGUGACUGCAUAGCUAGAGUACGGUAGAGGGGGAUGGAAUUCCGCGUGUAGCAGUGAAAUGCGUAGAUAUGCGGAGGAACACCGAUGGCGAAGGCAAUCCCCUGGACCUGUACUGACGCUCAUGCACGAAAGCGUGGGGAGCAAACAGGAUUAGAUACCCUGGUAGUCCACGCCCUAAACGAUGUCAACUGGUUGUUGGGUCUUCACUGACUCAGUAACGAAGCUAACGCGUGAAGUUGACCGCCUGGGGAGUACGGCCGCAAGGUUGAAACUUAAAGGAAUUGGCGGG
rnacentral:rRNA from 1 species